rnacentral:lncRNA from 10 species
AUUUUACAUAAAUUUAUUUAACUGUUUCAUAUUAUUAAGCAAUUAGGUUGUUUAUAAUGCUUCCUCAGCAACAGUAGUAAGCACAGGAGUAGCCACCACAAAACCUGCAUGGGCUCCAUGCUGAUGGCUACGGAAACCCUAUGAUAGGCAUUUUUCCUCAGCCUCAGCACUAUUUGCUUUCCCAUUUUAAUUAUGUGGAAUCUGAGGACCCAUGUGAAGUGGUGUGCACAACAGAACUAACAAAAUGUUGAGCCAUGAUUAAAACCUGGGUAAAAUAAGUGGCAACUUCAUGUUUUUUCCAUCUUUCAUCUAUGAUCAACCUUUACGUAAGUCUUAGUUUACAUCAUAAGUUAGGGGAAAAAGAUCUUUGUAAAUAAUAUUAUUGGGUCAGCGACAUUACAUUUUGUCAGAGUUCUGUGGAAGCAUUGCUAAAAUGUCAUCCAAAGCAUCCUUGCCUUGUUGUAUAUGUAUAUAUGCCCACACGUUAAUUAUUGUAUAUCAUAUUAUGUAAUGAAUAAUACAGAUUUUUUAGUGUGUGUGUAUAAAUUUACAUAUAUAUGUGUGCAUGUCUAUAUGUACAUACAAAACUAAUAUUUUCUAUUAUAAAUUACAUAUUUAUAUGUAGUAUAUAGUUCAGGAG